rnacentral:tRNA from 1 species
UCCCUGGUGGCUCAGACGGUAAAGCGUCUGCCUGCAAUGCGGGAGACCCGGGUUCUGUUCCUGGGUCGGGAA